AUCCAGCUGACGAGCCACAAAUAGAACGAAACGCACGUCCUGGAU
rnacentral:hammerhead_ribozyme from 1 species